rnacentral:lncRNA from 1 species
GCCCGCAGCCAAGACAUGGCGUUGACGGGGGCUCCCGACCAUGUGGCUCCGAUUCUUCAGGGAAAGCAGCUGUAGAGAGAUGAGACUCCACACAGCACCCUCCUCACGGCGCGCACACCCACAUCGGCAUGCAUUCCGGUACCAGUCACCUUGGAGCUGGCCAAACUUGGGGAUCCAAAAAGCGGUCCUGCUUCCUAGCGGGUGUUGAGCUCUGCAGCGUCGUCCCCCACGAACCUCCCUGCCCCCUGCUCCUGAUUCCCUUUCAGGAAUUUACAAACAUUUUUCCCUAGAUCAAUAUCCGUAUUGAUUAUUCAUUGUGAGCGAGUCGUGUGUCUUUGGUGAUCCAGCUUGCAGAGGGUAGCAGCUAAAGACGGCUGCAGGGGGAGAAAAAUAACAGAAGGUGAGAAGGACCCAGCUCUGGCUGAGGUCUGCGGCUGUCACAUCACAGAGAGGAGGAGGAAGAAGAAGAGAAUGGUCCAGAAUGAAAGGAUGGAGAAGGGUGUAAAAGAAAGAGGACGCAACUGCAAGAAAGAAAGAUGUGAGGACUGCAUUGGUCUUAGGGAUCUCAAUGGCUUGGAGGAAAGCCCCAUCAACUUGGGUCUGCUGCUAGGUGCAAAAUGCCGAGCUGUUCCUCUGCUCUGGGAGUGAAAAGUGACUCACGGUUUUGGUGUCUUCCUACGUAAGAGCUUUUGGUGGGGGGAUUCCUUGGCUUGCUGACAGACAAGGAAGGACGCAGCAGCAGUGAGGUAAAAGAAGAGGAAGGAAAAAAAAAAAAAAAAAAGCAACCCAGUCCUUUCCAACCGCCUUGCCGACGAUGCGCACCCGUUCGGUUUGAUUUGAACAGCUUGCUGCUCUAAAUGGCAUGCGGAAGGAGGAUAAUUAAAAAGGCCAGCAUCACUUACUAGGGUCUCUCACUGAAUCUAAAGCCUGUUGAUUUGAGCAGACUGGCUGACUAGGAAGCUCCCAGGAUCUGUGUGUCUAUACCUUUCAAUGCUGGGACUAUAGAUGUUUGGUAUGUCCAGUUUUUUCAAGGAUGUUGGAAAUUUGAACUCAGGUCCUCAUGUUUGUACAGCAAACACUUACUUUACCAAGCCAUCUUCCCAGACUCCAGGGCUCCAUUUAAGUAAAAAGUCUGAAUGGUGCUAAUGGCUAUAGGCUCUGGGAGAUUCACUGCGUGGUAGGAAGCUGCUCUUCAUGGAGAGAAAGGCUGUGAAACAAGAUGCGGGCUCUUUGAUCUUGGUUCUCACAGAGGCUCCCUUGGCCCUUCUGUCCCCUAUGGGGAAUGGGUAGAUACAGUGUUGCUUCAAUGCAAUUGGCAGAAGAGGAUCUGCCUGGCUGUUUCUGGAAACUAGCACUUACUUCUUUAAAGGGUCCACGAGACUAUCUGAACUCACAAGGGAGAGCCAAAGUGCUGGAGGUACCCACAGAAUUCUGGGAAGUGUUACAUGUCAUACCAAGAGAGCACGAACAUUCACUAGUAGCACACUCAAGGAUUCCCAGCACCCUGGGCAUGGCUGAAUGGCUGUAGAAAGACGUGCUAGGGAUUCCUUCAAGUCCUGUUGGUACUCAGCUGUGGAGACUGCUGUGGUCCUUCCUUCUCAAGACCUGGUGUUCGGAGGAACAAGAUUUGAAUAACAGAGGGCUUCUCAGCUACAGACCUUGGAUGGCUGUGUUCCCAGAUGUGACCUUUUCAAGUGAAUUUAGAGCUGUGAACCCAGGAUCAAGAUAAGGAGUCUACGAGUGAAGCCAGGAUCAAGACAAGGAGUCUACAAGUGAUAAACUCUGAAUCCAGGAUCCAGGGUAGUACCCACUGGGGCCUAAGGUGCUGGGUGGACCUGGUUAUGAGCACAGCUUCACCAUACCCCAUUUGGAAGCAGGCUUUAUCCUAGCUGAAAGGAUGUCACAAUGAAUGUUAAUGCCACACCAUUUAUUAGAAAAGCAGGGACACUAUAACUACGUGUCUUCCUUCUAAAUACCCCUGUCUUGAUGAAAGUCUACUUAUUUAGAUUUGACAUUCUUGAAAUAAGCAAUAAAGUGAGGUUUGCCUUCUCACUCUUAAAUCUUGCAAUUGACUUCAGUUCCUACACAAUUAAAUUCCACAGAAACUAGCAAUUCUAAAAUGCUUAGCUGUUUUAGACUGGAUGAGAAACCAGGUGUUUUAGAAGUCCAUAAAUAUGUAUAAUAUAUAUUAUUGUAUGAACUUAUUAUAUGUGUAUAAUAUAUAAUAUGUGUUAUAUAUAGUUUACAUAUUAUAUAUACAUAUAUAAUAUAUAGUAUACACACAUAUAUAUGUUUUCUAUAGAGGAAAGAUGGAUCCCUUUCUAUUCCAUGUCUGUUGUGCAUAUUUUUUUCAGGCUUCAUAGACACAAAACAUCAGUAUGUGUGUGCAUGUAUGCAUAUGUCUAUGUGUUUCUCUGUGCAUAUGUAUGGGUAUAUACCAAGCUUAGAUAUACAUGUAUUUUGGUGUAUGCUUACAUGAAUAUUGUAUAUUGUGUAUAGUGUAUGACCACAUGUAUGUAGUGUGUACUCUGUAUGCAUAUAAGCAUGCAUGUAGAAUGUAUGCAUGUGUGUACUGUGAGACAAGGAAGGUUCUAUAAAAAGUUUCUCCACUACAUAACCCAUCUAUGCUACAAUUUACUGUCUAUUUUACUGAACACAUGCAUGAGGUUGGUCAAAGCUGGUGAGUUCCAUCUUUAUCUGAAUGAAGUUUUAAUUUUUUUUCCUUUUAAAAUUGAAAACCAUGUUUUUAUUCCAAAAGACUGGGUAGGGUGGUAUUUUAAAAAUAAUUCUAGUCACUUAAAUUUAAGGCCCUGGAAAAAAAAAGAGUUCCAUCUCUGGUCCAAAUCUACUCUCUGGCCCAGAGCCCAAAGCAUUUUCAUUAGCUGGAGAAUGGAGACGGUUUCACUCACUUUAAGCCUUACUGCUCGGUAGUGUUUGUUCAGAGACAAGCUAACAAGUGUCACUGGCCGUGUUGCCCUUAAUAAUAUGUCUCCUUCCUUUGAAUGAGCUAUUUCAGUUGCAUUAUUGCCAUUUAAAGGUGGCCUUGUGCUUGCACUCACGUUUCCAGGGACUGCAGAAGGCGUGUUGGAUCUCUCCUACACGGCUUUGCCUCUUCCACUAGCAAGUUUCCAGAGGAACAGCCCCAAUUGUUUUUUGAAGGCAUUCAUGGGGGGAAAAGCCAUACAGUGCAGGUGCUCUGACCCCCACACUUUGUUUUUGCUUCUACUCAUGGCAAUCUUGCCCAACUAUGCUAAGAUUUCCUCAGGUUUUAAAAUUAAUUCAUAAAAAUCCUAUUCAAGGCUUUUCAAUAAGCAAUGUUGACAUGUAAGUAAGAAAUAUUCAAGCCUUUUCAAUAAGCAAUGUUGACACGUAAGAAAGAAAGACAGAUCACCCAGUCAGGAGAAUUGGAGGGAGAUUUGACCAGGUGUGCAGCUGAGAAACCCAGUAGCCAGUAAGUGCUUGCAGUCAGACCACAGCACCAUGGCCAGUGACUGCUGCCACUGGCACCAAGGUGGCAACUAAACAGUGUAACAGCAAUUGUAAGCAACUAUACAGUGUAACAACAGUUAUAUGCAACUAUACAAUGUAACAACAGUUGUAAGUCGCAGGUGGAAACAUUACACUCUGCCGGGGUGAGCUGGCUCAGAGUUCAGUGUAGACAUUGUUUAAAGCAGAAGAUGUUGUAUGUGGGGUGUGUGUGUGUUAUGUGUGGUGUGGUAUGUGUGGUGGUGGUGGUGUGUGUGUGUGUCUGUGGUAUGUGUAGUGUGUGGUGUGUGUGUGUGGUAUGUGUGGUGUGUGGUGUGGUGUGGUGUGUGUGUGUGUGGUAAGUGUGGUGUGGUAUGUGUGUGUGUGCACGUGCGUGUGUGUGCGCUCAUGUGGUAAGUGUGAUGUGGUAUGUGUGGUGGUGGUGGUGGUGGUGGUGUGUGUGUGUGUGUUUACAGAGGCCAAACAAGAGCAUUGGAUCCCUUGGAUCUGGAGUGACAGGCAGUUGUGAGCUACUGGUCAGAAGUGUGGGAACUGAACUCAGGUCCUCUGGAAGAUGAGCAAGUGUUCGCAACCACUGCACUCUCUCUUUGCCCUUCCUCCUUAUUGUUGAGACAGGUCACUUACUGGACUUGGAAUUCAGCCACUGGUCUAGACUGGCUGGCCAGAAUGCCUAAUUGGAUCCCUCUCUCCUCAUCUCUACCCCACUGAUGGGAUUACAGGCGCAUGUUGCUAGGCCUAGUUUAUUAUCUGGGUCCCGAGGAAUCCACCUGAAGUGUUCAGGUUUAUGUGGCAAGUACUUUACUGACUAAGCCAUCUACCUGUCUCGACCUGGCACUUUUUGAUGAACUUUGAAACCAAGUUUUCAUUUUUAUUUUCCUUUAAUGUAGGUAAGUGUGUCUUCCCUUAUGGGGAAGAUGGGACAGAUGUCCCUAUGACGUCUGUCAUAAGAUUCAUAGUCAGGCCAUUACUAUCUCAUGUGCCAAUCAUCCCUUCAUUAGCAAUGAUAUAUCAAUUACAAAUAUACAGUCUCACCGGCAUAGCUAGAUAUCAGAUACAGAAUACCAACCAAGGGGUUUGUGCACAGUAGGUGCUCAGUGAACAUCAUAUUGAUAUAAGCAUUAUGCAUUACAUGAUAGAACAUUUAUUAAAUAUAAUAAGCAUUAUAUUUAAUAGCCAACCAAAAUGCAGAGUGGUAGAGCCCAAUCGUAGCAGAUGCAGAACAGCUCCUGUACCCAAGGCUAGGGGAUCAUGGCAGAAGAGGAUGUGAAAAGCCUGUGUCUCCUAAGAAUGUCACAAGCUUCACCCAUAAAGUCUCACCAACAUGACUGACAAAAUGGAUACUGAACGAGGACAACAAAUAGACACAUGUUUAUGUGGACUGGGGGAGGGCAAGUCUAGGAAGCAUCAACCCUACACAAAGACUACAGGCAACUAAGGAAUGCUGAGAGUGGGGGAAAUCGUCCUCUCCAGGGAGGAGCACACACCAAGCCAUUAUCCAAUACCAAAUGGCCAGCCCUGAAAACAUACAUACAAGUAACAUCAUAGAGACUA